AUUGAACGCUAGCGGGAUGCCUUACACAUGCAAGUCGAACGGCAGCACGGACUUCGGUCUGGUGGCGAGUGGCGAACGGGUGAGUAAUGUAUCGGAACGUGCCCAGUAGCGGGGGAUAACUACUCGAAAGAGUAGCUAAUACCGCAUACGCCCUACGGGGGAAAGGGGGGGAUCGCAAGACCUCUCACUAUUGGAGCGGCCGAUAUCGGAUUAGCUAGUUGGUGGGGUAAAGGCCCACCAAGGCGACGAUCCGUAGCUGGUUUGAGAGGACGACCGGCCACACUGGGACGGGGACACGGCCCAGACUCCUACGGGAGGCAGCAGUGGGGAAUUGUUCGGAAUGGGCGCAAGCCUGACGACGCAACGCCGCGUGGAGGAUGAAGGUCUUCGGAUUGUAAACUCCUGUUGCCCGGGACGAAACGCUCCGACCUAACACGUCGGAGCCUGACGGUACCGGGUGAGGAAGCCCCGGCUAACUCUGUGCCAGCCGCCGCCGUAA
rnacentral:rRNA from 1 species